rnacentral:rRNA from 1 species
UCGCCUGUUUAUCAAAAACAUAGUUUAGUGAAAAAUUAUACUAAAUGAAUUCUGCCCAGUGUUUUAAUAAAUGGCCGCAGUACCCUGACUGUGCUAAGGUAGCAUAAUCAAUUGGCUUUUAAUUGAAGUCUGGAAUGAAUGAAAUAAUGGAGGAAUGCUGUCUUAAAAGUAUUAAUUUAAAUUUAUUUAAAAGGUGAAAAUACCUUUUUUUAAAAAAAAGACGAGAAGACCCUAAGAAUUUUUAGAUUAAUUUUCAAAAUUAAAUCUUUUUGUUGGGGCGACAGAUUAGAAAAACUAAACCUAAUUUUUUAAAUUGGCGAAUUUUUUAAGUAAUAAAAAAUUACCUUAGGGAUAACAGCAUAAUGUAAAAUUUUUUAUGUUUGUGACCUCGAUGUUGGACUAGGAACUUUAUGGCUAGCAGUCAGAAAAGAUUUAUUCUGUUCGAAUAAUUUAAUCCU